UACGUAGGGGGCAAGCGUUGUCCGGAAUCAUUGGGCGUAAAGAGCGCGUAGGCGGCCCUGUAAGUCCGCUGUGAAAGUCAAGGGCUCAACCCUUGGAUGCCGGUGGAUACUGCAGGGCUAGAGUCCGGAAGAGGCGAGUGGAAUUCCCGGUGUAGCGGUGAAAUGCGCAGAUAUCAGGAGGAACACCAAUUGCGAAGGCAGCUCGCUGGGACGUUACUGACGCUGAGACGCGAAAGCGUGGGGAGCAAACAGG
rnacentral:rRNA from 1 species